GACGAACGCUGGCGGCGUGCCUAAUACAUGCAAGUCGAACGCAGUGGGGACGGGUGAGUAACACGUGGGUAACCUCCCAUCAGAGGGGAUAACACUUGGAAACAGGUGCUAAACCGAUACUGAUGGAUGGACCCGCGGUGCAUUAGCUAGUUGGUGAGGUAACGGCUCACCAAGGCCACGAUGCAUAGCCGGCCCGGGAGGGGGAGUGGGCAACCUGGGACUGAGACACCGCCCAGACCCCUACGGGAGGCAGGAGGAGGGAAUUUUUGGCAAGGGACGAAAGGCUGACCCAGCAACGCCGGGGGAGUGAAGAAGGUUUUCGGAGCGGAAAGCUCUGGUGUUAGAGAAGCGGUAACUAACCAGAAAGGGACGGCUAACUACGUGCCAGCAGCCGCGGUAAUUC
rnacentral:rRNA from 1 species